GUUCUGAACCCAAUUUCGUAUGAAUCUCUCCAUCUCACCUGUUCGUUUCUCCUUCCAUUACCACACAUUGUCGCAAUAACUGUUGUUUACCGAUCAACUCUACGACUACAAUUCGCCAUUGAUUACAAGUCGACUGAUAACCAGACAACUUCAGAGCUGUUCGAAACGUUUAAAGGUCGACUAAACUGACAGCCGCGGGAGAAUAAAAUGUCUUUAUUACAUUUACAUAAUAAUUAACGUCCAACUAAUAUUAAUAAUAUCAUUCCUGAACUGUAUGACAUCUGAUUCAAAAAGGAUGUUAAAAAAGCCAUAAAAAUUAUUGUUAAU